GAUGAACGCUAGCGAUAGGCUUAACACAUGCAAGUCGAGGGGCAGCACAAGGUAGCUUGCUAUCUGGGUGGCGACCGGCGCACGGGUGCGUAACGCGUAUGCAACUUGCCCUAUACAGGAGGAUAACCCGUCGAAAGACGGACUAAUACUGCGUAUGCUCACAACUUGGCAUCAAGUGGUGAGGAAAGAAAUUCGGUAUAGGAUAGGCAUGCGUCCCAUUAGCUUGUUGGUGAGGUAACGGCUCACCAAGGCAACGAUGGGCAGGGGAACUGAGAGGUUUAUCCCCCACACUGGUACUGAGACACGGACCAGACUCCUACGGGAGGCAGCAGUGAGGAAUAUUGGUCAAUGGGCGCGAGCCUGAACCAGCCAAGUCGCGUGAAGGAUGACUGUCUUAUGGAUUGUAAACUUCUUUUAUACGGGAAUAACAAGAGUCACGUGUGACUCCCUGCAUGUACCGUAUGAAUAAGCAUCGGCUAACUCCGUG
rnacentral:rRNA from 1 species